CUCGCGCGUUCGCUGAGUGAAGAAGGCAGAAGAGCUGUUUUGUUAGGAGAGUUACUUUAGAAGUCACCCUUGUUACCAAAGCACCAGGUUGUCUUGGACAUGAGGUAAGAGGGUGACACCUUGGCCUCAGCCAUCAUCUGUCUUCUGCUGGCACUGGUUGAAUCUCAUCAAGUUCAGUCUUUGAUUUAAAAAGAAACUACAAAGUAAUUUUCUUCUCCACAUCCUCUCUUGCUGAUUAACGUUGCUAAUGUUGGCAGUCUUUUAGACUUCUGAAGAUCAUAGAAUUAAUGUUUGCUGCAUUGAGGGGAUUUCUAGUGCUCCGUAUUACAAACUGUGGCAAUGUUUACCCACUUUUACAUGCUGUUUACUAUUCCUGUUUAUACUUUUGGUGAAAAAAUACUGGCUCUCCGUCUCACAGGAGUUUGCAAAUACUGUCAAAAUAUAUACACAAUAUUAGCAUGUAGGACACUAUUCUUGCUUUCAUGACAAAAUAUCAAUGCCUGGCAAAGGUAUACUUGAAGCUGUCUAUUUUGGGGAGGAGACUGAAGUUAAAAGGUAAGUAUGAGCUCCUGAUACUACCCAUAGGUAUUUGGUCUUCUAUAUCCUCAUGGAAAAAGCAAUAUAUUUAAUAAAUUCUAACCUUUUCUUGUACAAAUUUGAGUAAGGUAUCAUGUGUUUCAACUAAAACAUCUUGGGGCUUCAGAAGUUUAUGUAGAAUACAUUCCAUGAUAAGUGGGCAAGUGGGCAUCAGUACUUUCUUAAAUUCUGAUUAGCCAAAAAAACUAAUCGUUAACAUGGCUGGGUGGCCAGCCAAGCGAGAUGUAACACGUGCUCUUGUUUCCACAGAGCUACAGCCACAAUCUCUCUAUGCCAUUUUAGAGUAUAAAUAUGUUAAGGGAAGGUAUGUAAGGAAAUAGUAUAUCUUCAGGGUUUAGGAACUGUAACGUUAGGAAAGGCAUGUAUGUGUAGGAAAUCUCAAAAUUGAGCAGAUUAUACUCCAAAUCAGUCAUUUCUAGUUUUGGGGUCAGGACUUCAAAUCUCUAGAAAAACAUUUUCUGUCUGUCAAUGGAGUGGUUAUAUUUUAGAAUUUUCCAACUCAUAUCCAAAUUAA